rnacentral:rRNA from 1 species
UGGGGAAUUUUGGACAAUGGGCGAAAGCCUGAUCCAGCAAUGCCGCGUGUGUGAAGAAGGCCUUCGGGUUGUAAAGCACUUUUGUCCGGAAAGAAAUCCUUGGCUCUAAUACAGUCGGGGGAUGACGGUACCGGAAGAAUAAGCACCGGCUAACUACGUGCCAGCAGCCGCGGUAAUACGUAGGGUGCAAGCGUUAAUCGGAAUUACUGGGCGUAAAGCGUGCGCAGGCGGUUUGCUAAGACCGAUGUGAAAUCCCCGGGCUCAACCUGGGAACUGCAUUGGUGACUGGCAGGCUAGAGUAUGGCAGAGGGGGGUAGAAUUCCACGUGUAGCAGUGAAAUGCGUAGAGAUGUGGAGGAAUACCGAUGGCGAAGGCAGCCCCCUGGGCCAAUACUGACGCUCAUGCACGAAAGCGUGGGGAGCAAACAGGAUUAGAUACCCUGGUAGUCCACGCCCUAAACGAUGUCAACUAGUUGUUGGGGACUUCAUUUCCUUAGUAACGUAGCUAACGCGUGAAGUUGACCGCCUGGGGAGUACGGUCGCAAGAUUAAAACUUAAAUGAAUUGACGGGGU